AUCGCAUGAUGCAGUGUGAAAAACUCCGGUGGUAUAAGAUGGACCCGCGUCGGAUUAGCUAGUUGGUGAGGUAACGGCCCACCAAGGCGACGAUCCAUAGCCGACCUGAGAGGGUGACCGGCCACAUUGGGACUGAGACACGGCCCAAACUCCUACGGGAGGCAGCAGUGGGGAAUAUUGCACAAUGGGCGAAAGCCUGAUGCAGCGACGCCGCGUGAGCGAAGAAGUAUUUCGGUAUGUAAAGCUCUAUCAGCAGGGAAGAUAAUGACGGUACCUGACUAAGAAGCACCGGCUAAAUACGCGCCAGCAGCCGCGGUAAUACGUAUGGUGCAAGCGUUAUCCGGAUUUACUGGGUGUAAAGGGAGCGCAGGCGGUGCGGCAAGUCUGAUGUGAAAGCCCGGGGCUCAACCCCGGUACUGCAUUGGAAACUGUCGUACUAGAGUGUCGGAGGGGUAAGCGGAAUUCCUAGUGUAGCGGUGAAAUGCGUAGAUAUUAGGAGGAACACCAGUGGCGAAGGCGGCUUACUGGACGAUAACUGACGCUGAGGCCCGAAAGCGUGGGGAGCAAACAGGAUUAGAUACCCUGGUAGUCCACGCCGUA
rnacentral:rRNA from 1 species